rnacentral:lncRNA from 1 species
GCUGCCUCCAUCCCUGGUGCCCUCUCUGUAUCUCUGUGCCUUUGUGCACACUGCUUCCUCUGCCUGGAAGCCCUUCUUCCUUUCUCCACACAACACAUCCCUCCUUACUCAUUAAAGUCCCGUACAAAUGCUAAAGGCAGCUGAUCUUGUCAGCAAACUUGGCCACCAAAUAGAAAAUCUCCUUCUAUGCCCACUAGUCAUGGACAAAACUCAAAAGUUGCAUGGGAACUUCAGUUAUCGGGCAAUGUUACCAGGGUUUGGGGCAGAAGGAACAGAUAAAAGGGACAAUUCUAAGGAAGAUGAUUGAAAGACUGACCCCAAUGUGGAGAGGAUGAUUCCAGCACUACUCGUACUGCACUAGGAUCAGACAACUUGAAAUCUGCCUUUGCUUUUAUUGGGCAAUCUGUUCCAGGGAUCACAGCCCCUACCUGUAACUGUCACCUCUUUUGAGGUACAAUUACAUUCUUUCCUCUCAUCCCAUUGCAAUGUUUCCAUGCUGAGAGGGCUCCAGAGAGAUGUAGGGAAGCUCUGCUAGUCUCUGUGCUGAAGCUCAGUGCCUGGCAUACCUCUGCCUUUGAUGAGGCUCUGGCACAGCCCUGCAUCAUUCUUCAUUUGCCUGCGCAUUAAAGAAUGCCCCUGGUGGUCAUCAGAGCGCCUUGUGUCAGAGGCUUUGUCUACACCUCUCUGUGCCUAGGUUGCAAGCACAGCUUUGGAUUUUUUUUAUCCUCCUCUCAUGUAC